rfam:Bacteroidales bacterium 45-6 scnpilot_expt_750_p_scaffold_9592, whole genome shotgun sequence.
AAUUUAUACAGAAGAAGGGAGAGUCAGGCUCUGCGAACUUCUGGCAACUUCCGGCAAGGAUAAGUGCCCAACCUGGUCUAAACAAUAUUUAGAAACUAUAAAUU